GAUGAACGCUGGCGGCGUGCCUAAUACAUGCAAGUCGAGCGAACAGAUGAGGAGCUUGCUCCUCUGACGUUAGCGGCGGACGGGUGAGUAACAAGUGGAUAACCUACCUAUAAGACUGGGAUAACUUCGGGAAACCGAAGCUAAUACCGUAUAAUAUAUUGAACCGCAUUGUUCAAUAGUGAGAGGCGGUUUUGCUGUCACUUAUACAAUGAUCCGCGCCGCAUUAGAUCGUUGGUACGGUAACGGGUUACCAAGGCAACGAUGCGUAGCCAACCUGAAAGGGGGAUCGGCACCACCGGAACUGAGACACGGUCCAGACUCGAACGGGAGGCAGCAGUAGGGAGUCGUACGCAAUGGGCGAAAGCCUAACGUAGCAACGCCGCGUGAGUGAUGAAGGUCUUGGGAUCGUAAAACUCUGUUAUUAGGGAAGAACAAAUGUGUAAGUAACUAUGCACGUCUUGACGGUACCUAAUCAGAAAGCAACGGCUAACUACGUG
rnacentral:rRNA from 1 species